AACGAACGCUGGCGGCGUGCUUAACACAUGCAAGUCGAACGUGAUUCAGAGCUUGCUCUGAUGAAAGUGGCGCACGGGUGAGUAACGCGUGGAUAACCUGCCCUGGUAUCUGGGAUAACAUCUCGAAAGGGGUGCUAAUACCGGAUAAGCCCACGGGAUCCUCGGAUUCUGCGGGAAAAGGAGGCCUCUAUUUAUAAGCUUCCGUAUCAUGAUGGGUCCGCGUACCAUUAGCUAGUUGGUGGGGUAAUGGCCUACCAAGGCGACGAUGGUUAGCUGGUCUGAGAGGAUGAUCAGCCACACUGGAACUGAGACACGGUCCAGACUCCUACGGGAGGCAGCAGU
rnacentral:rRNA from 1 species